GAUGAAGAACGCAGCGAAAUGCGAUAAGUAAUGUGAAUUGCAGAAUUCAGUGAAUCAUCGAAUCUUUGAACGCACAUUGCGCCCGCCAGUAUUCUGGCGGGCAUGCCUGUUCGAGCGUCAUUACAACUCUCAGGCCCCCGGGCCUGGCGUUGGGGAUCGGCGGAAGCCCCCUGCGGGCACAACGCCGUCCCCCAAAUACAGUGGCGGUCCCGCCGCAGCUUCCAUUGCGUAGUAGCUAACACCUCGCAACUGGAGAGCGGCGCGGCCACGCCGUAAAACACCCAACUUCUGAAUGUUGACCUCGAAUCAGGUAGGAAUACCCGCUGAACUUAAGCAUAUCAAUAAGCGGAGGA
rnacentral:misc_RNA from 1 species